rnacentral:tRNA from 1 species
GGUGGCUCAGUGGUAGAGCGCUUGCCUUGCAUGCAUGAGGCCCUGGGUCCGAGUCCUUGACACCA